UACGGGGGGAGCAAGCGUUGUUCGGAUUUACUGGGCGUAAAGGGCGCGUAGGCGGCCACCGCAAGUCGACUGUGAAAUCUCCGGGCUUAACCCGGAAAGGUCAGCUGAUACUGCGGGGCUAGAGUGCAGAAGGGGCAACUGGAAUUCUCGGUGUAGCGGUGAAAUGCGUAGAUAUCAGGAGGAACGCCUGUGGUGUAGACGGCUCUCUGGACCAUUACUGACACUGAGGUACGAAAGCGUGGGUAGCAAACAGG
rnacentral:rRNA from 1 species